rnacentral:rRNA from 1 species
AUUGAACGCUGGCGGCAGGCCUAACACAUGCAAGUCGAACGAGUGGCGGACGGGUGAGUAAUGUCUGGGAAACUGCCUGAUGGAGGGGGAUAACUACUGGAAACGGUAGCUAAUACCGCAUACCAUCAGAUGUGCCCAGAUGGGAUUAGCUUGUUGGUUGGGUAACGGCUCACCAAGGCGACGAUCCCUAGCUGGUCUGAGUGGAUGACCGUCCAAACUGUAACUGAGACACGGUCCUGACUCCUAGGUGAGGCAGCAGUGGUGAUUAUUGCACUAUGGGCGCAAGCCUGAUGAAGCCAUGCCGCGUGUGUGAAGAAGGCCUUCGGGUUGUGAAGAACUUUCUGCGGGGAGGCGUUACCCGCAGAAGAAGCACCGGCUAACUCCGUGCCAGCAGCCGCGGUGAUAC